rnacentral:rRNA from 1 species
GAUGAACGCUGGCGGCGUGCCUAAUACAUGCAAGUCGAGCGAACAGACGAGGAGCUUGCUCCUCUGACGUUAGCGGCGGACGGGGGAGUAACACGUGGAUAACCUACCUAUAAGACUGGGAUAACUUCGGGAAACCGGAGCUAAUACCGGAUAAUAUAUUGAACCGCAUGGUUCAAUAGUGAAAGACGGUUUUGCUGUCACUUAUAGAUGGAUCCGCGCCGCAUUAGCUAGUUGGUAAGGUAACGGCUUACCAAGGCAACGAUCGGUAGCCGACCUGAGAGGGGGACCGCCCACACGGGAACUGGGACACGGUCCAGACUCCUACGGGGGGCAGCAGUGGGGAAUCUUCCGCAAUGGGCGAAAGCCUGACGGAGCAACGCCGCGUGGGUGAGGAAGGUCUUCGGAUCGUAAAACUCUGUGAUUAGGGAGGAACAAAUGUGUAAGUAACUAUGCACGUCUUGACGGUACCUAAUCAGAAAGCCACGGCUAACUACGUG